GUGUUUUCUGACACCUGUCUGGAUCAGGCUGUCUCGCUGGGGCAUGAAGGUGUCAUCAGCCCAGGCCUCAGCACCACAGCCCGUCAGCAGUCUGGACCUGUACAGCGUGAUGAGCUGACAGCUGGCUCAGGGCUGCCCAAAGAGAGAGAGAAACACCUGAACAGCACAGCCCUGCGCCACAUAACACCCACCCUCACGGAUAUCACGACUCCUAACGGCACAAUGUUCUUGCACUCGAUCGCCCUGUGAAGAUUUACUAGUGCCCACCGAUGACAUGUUUCUGUGCCUGUUCUCUUUCUCUCCCUCCCCUACUUCGCCUCCCAUCCCGUCCCACCACACGGUGAACUCCCCCUCCAUGUUUUUCCCCUCUCAGCUACAGGAAGAGAGAUCUACAGGCCAGAUAAAGAUCUCAUGUUCCCCUGUGGACAUGAUGCUGCACACGGAACAUGCUGUGGGAUGCACUCCAUCUCCACACAUACCAAAGAGACAUACACCCCUGCACUGCUUAAACAUUGAGUCAGGAAAUAGAUUUGAAAAAAGUGUCAUUUCCUCCCUCUUCCUCCUUCCUCCAUGCUCACUGAUGAUGAAAAGACCAC
rnacentral:lncRNA from 1 species